UUCUACUUUACUUUAUGUAUUCUCUAUCUUGUAGUACCGACAUUCCUAACACUAAUCUGGGGGCUCUUUGGCAAGGGAAGUGGAUUCAUGAGUAUGUUAAAAACGGGAAAGAGUUGAAGUCGGACGUGUUUGCUGGGACUGCGCUCGUCGAUAUGUUGAUUUAUGUUGAAUUAUAAGUCUCUAGCUGAUUAAGUAUUAGAAAUAAGAUGAGUUUUAAUGUGUGUAUUCACUUGAGCAUAUCUGCCAAGUGUAAAGUUAAAAGAUGUAAGGCCAUGAGUGCCAUGUGGUGUUUGAUCCUUGUAAUUAGGUUGAUGAAUGUCUAAGAUUAAAAGUAGUGUUUUUGUGUGGUCCUAAAGCUAAGGCCAUCAAUUAAAUGUAAAGCAGAGUGAGUGCGCAUUGUGUGUGCUGUACAAAAGAUUAUUCCUCUGCAAUACUUUUGAAAGAGAGAACAAGAAAGAAAAACUUUUUCGGUUCAGCUUCCUCUGUCUUUUGUUUCUUUGCUUCUGUUCAGCCUUCUGGAAAUUAAACCCAGCUAAAUCAAGUUUUAUUAACAGAUUUGGCUGUGGAAGCCCUUAAGGGAAUGUCGAAAAGGAAUGCAGUCUCGUGGGCAGCCAUGAUUGGAGGGUUUGCAUGCCUAAUGCGGACAGUUCUGGUCCUUCCGGAUAGCGAAUCCUCAAGGAUUAUGACUUCUCAUUACCCGUCGGUACUUGCCCUAAAUUGUUGUUGCUCAAGUGUUCUCUUCAAAGUUACGUCUGACUAAAGAUGAAUGAUUUGACUUGAUGAGAUUGUUUGGGAAAAAUCCUCAUCACUCCGAAUGAGGCAGAAAAGGGAUUCGAUCUUGGAUAAACAUGUUACCGUUGAUCACCACCUGCAACAAAAGCUAGUUCCUUAGUUCUAUCUAUCUAAUCAUGGAAACAUUAGGAGAGUCCAUAACACGAUUUCCUGAUGUAUCAACUCCAUGAAUUAUAUCUUGUAUUUUAAAUGAGAUUAGAGAUGAAUUGGCUGCAUAUGUAUUCUA